UACGUAGGGUGCAAGCGUUAAUCGGAAUUACUGGGCGUAAAGCGUGCGUAGGCGGCUUGUCAAGUCAGAUGUGAAAUCCCCGGGCUUAACCUGGGAACUGCGUUUGAAACUGAUGAGCUAGAGUUCGGCAGAGGAAGGUGGAAUUCCGUGUGUAGCGGUGAAAUGCGUAGAGAUACGGAAGAACACUAAUGGCGAAGGCAUCCUUCUGGGCCGACACUGACGCUGAGUCACGAAAGCGUGGGGAGCAAACAGG
rnacentral:rRNA from 1 species